AGUUUGGUGAUUAAAACUUAAUAAGAGUGAAAAAUGUGUCAAAAGCCAAUUUGGACUUUUCUUCUUAUGAAACCUUUUUUAACCUUUAUUAAAAAAAAAAAAAUGAAAUGAUUAUAUAUAUCAAGGGUUGGCCGGCCAUGUGGUGUUUUAGGUGGUGUGAACCCAACUUAAUAAAGAUAAAUCUCAUUUUAACUAAGUCAAGUCAAGUGGGCAAGUGGGAGGAAAACACUUGAGUGUUUUUGAGAUAAAUUAGAUAGUAUAUAACUCUUCCAUCCCUCCCCAACCGACCACACCACCCUCUCUCAUUCACUCAUCUGAUUUUUUUAGACCAUUCAAAGUGUUCUCUCAAUAUUCAACCUCAAGAACACCAAGGAAAACUUGGAGGCUAAGUCUUGGUCUAGGAAGUAUUUUCCCUAAGUUGGUUAGGGUUUUUGAAAGGUAUUGGAGGAGCCAAAGCUAAUAGGAAGGUCCAAACCUUAAGCAAGAACACCAAAGAGUAUUGGCUAAGCGUAACUGGACUGAACGUUGGAGGGUGAAAACCUGCUGAGCGCUAAGGACUCCAAGUAAGUCAACUUAUAUUGUAUGGCUGCAACAUGAAAUGAUUAUUGUCUUGUAUGUUAGUAUAGGGAUACAUGCAUAUAUAUAGGCUGUCAUAGAAGGUUGCUUAGAGACGUUAGUCUAGUGAGUGCUGAUUUAGAAAAUAUGAACGGUAGAAGUCCGUCAUAUCCUAGACGGUUGAUCCCCGUCACACUGCUUGAUUUUAUUUAUGUCCGGUUCAUUACCGCGACGAGUGGCCAUGAGAUGAGGAUAAGCUGGUUAAACCUAGGGGCGCCAAGAUAAAUGGGACCUAGGGGCCCUCAUGCUUACUUAAUCAUUGGACGGUUAGAAUCCGAGCAAGUGCUCUGAUAAGUUAUUCCCGGAUAGCAGCCGUGAAUAUUGGCCAUUCCGUGAGAGUGCCUAGAGAUACUAGGGGUUGCCAAGUUUGAGUGAGGUUGAACACCCUAGGGGCAGCUGCUCACCAGCA